UUAGACAUUGGUGACCUUUAAAAACUUAGUUUAUUUUUUAAUUUAGUAUUCAAAACACAAAAUAUGUAAAUCUUAUGAGAAAAAGGAUUAAAAAGGGGUUUUUAGUAUAAAAAGGAUAGUUUGGCCAUCCAUGUGGAUGAAUAGAGGUGGAUGAUAGGAAUCUCUAUUCUAAUUGGCCAAAAAUCAUGCCCAAUGGGCUUUAAGGAGGCUGCCCGAGGCCUUAUUAGGAGAUCAGGGUUUGUUUUUUAGAGGAAUUCGAAUAUCAGAGGCUAGGGUCAUCAGGUUUAGGUUUUUGGAUAUGGUUUUGGUGAAAAUUUUGCAUGAUUUGGACUUUUUAUGAAAGAGUUAUAGGCGCUCAAAGUCAGGGUGUCAAAAUUCUACCUACUGUCACUCUUUUAAGCAUAACGCGUUCGUACAGAAGACAAAAGAUAAUUGGCAAUUGGAGUUGGAAAGAGCACUUUUUUGGCUACACUUUUUGUUUAAGGCUUGAUAAAAUCCAAGCUAUGGUGAAGAAGAUAUUGGGAGUUGAAGUCAAUGCUUGUAAGUUAAAGGCAGUAAGUUACCCCGCUUAACUAGUGGUUACAUUUUGAGC
rnacentral:lncRNA from 1 species